GAUGAACGCUAGCGGCAGGCUUAACACAUGCAAGUCGAGGGGCAGCACGGGUAGCAAUACCUGGUGGCGACCGGCGCAAGGGUGCGUAACGCGUGAGCAACAUGCCCUAUACAGGGGGAUAAUCCAGGGAAACUUGGUCUAAUAUCCCAUAGUAUUUAGAGGAGGCAUCUUCUAUAAAUUAAAGCUUCGGUGGUAUAGGAUUGGCUCGCGUGACAUUAGCUAGAUGGUGAGGUAACGGCUCACCAUGGCAAUGAUGUCUAGGGGUUCUGAGAGGAAGGCCCCCCACACUGGGACUGAGACACGGCCCAGACUCCUACGGGAGGCAGCAGUGAGGAAUAUUGGACAGUGGGCGCAAGCCUGAACCAGCCAUCCCGCGUGCAGGAAGACGGCCCUAUGGGUUGUAAACUGCUUUUCCAGGGAGAGAAACUUACGCACGUGUUGCGUGACUGACGGUACCCUGGGAAUAAGCAUCGGCUAACUCCGUG
rnacentral:rRNA from 1 species